rnacentral:rRNA from 1 species
GAGACCUCAGUCAGGCGACAGCAAGCUC